rnacentral:rRNA from 1 species
AAAGUUUGAUCAUGGCUCAGAUUGAACGCUGGCGGCAGGCCUAACACAUGCAAGUCGAACGGUAACAUUUCUAGCUUGCUAGAAAGAUUACCAGUGGCGGACGGGUGAGUAAUGCUUGGGAACUUGCCUUUGCGAGGGGGAUAACAGUUGGAAACGACUGCUAAUACCGCAUAAUGUCUUCGGACCAAACGGGGCUUCGGCUCCGGCGCAAAGAGAGGCCCAAGUGAGAUUAGCUAGUUGGUAAGGUAACGGCUUACCAAGGCGACGAUCUCUACCUGUUCUGAGAGGAAGAUCAGCCACACUGGGACUGAGACACGGCCCAGACUCCUACCGGAGGCAGCAAUGGGGAAUAUUGCACAAUGGGGGAAACCCUGAUGCAGCCAUGCCGCGUGUGUG